UACGUAGGGUGCAAGCGUUGUCCGGAAUUAUUGGGCGUAAAGAGCUCGUAGGCGGUCCGUCACGUCGGGCGUGAAAACCCAGGGCUCAACCCUGGGCCUGCGUUCGAUACGGGCGGACUAGAGUUCGGUAGGGGAGACUGGAAUUCCCGGUGUAGCGGUGAAAUGCGCAGAUAUCAGGAGGAACACCGGUGGCGAAGGCGGCUCUCUGGGCCUUACCUGACGCUGAGGAGCGAAAGCGUGGGUAGCGAACAGG
rnacentral:rRNA from 1 species